UACGUAGGGUGCGAGCGUUGUCCGGAAUUAUUGGGCGUAAAGGGCUCGUAGGCGGUUUGUCGCGUCGGGAGUGAAAUCCACUGGCUUAACUGGUGGCUUGCUUUCGAUACGGGCAGACUGGAGGUAUGCAGGGGAGAACGGAAUUCCUGGUGUAGCGGUGAAAUGCGCAGAUAUCAGGAGGAACACCGGUGGCGAAGGCGGUUCUCUGGGCCUGUACUGACGCUGAGGAGCGAAAGCGUGGGGAGCGAACAGG
rnacentral:rRNA from 1 species